rnacentral:rRNA from 1 species
GAUGAACGCUGGCGGCGUACCUAACGCAUGCAAGUCGAACGGGGGAGCGCGUAGCAAUACGAACUUCCUAGUGGCAAACGGGUGAGUAACACGUGGGGAUCUACCUUCGAGUGGGGAAUAACGAGCCGAAAGGUUCGCUAAUACCGCAUACGGUCGGGAGACGAAAGGUCGAGGCAACUCGGUCGCUCGGAGAGGAACCUGCGGUCGAUCAGGUAGUUGGUGAGGUAACGGCUCACCAAGCCGCUGACCGAUAGCUGAUCUGAGAGGAUGACCAGCC